GUUUGAGCCUGGCUCAGGACGAACGCUGGCGGCGUGCCUAAUACAUGCAAGUCGAGCGAGUCUGCCUUGAAGAUCGGAGUGCUUGCACUCUGUGAAACAAGAUACAGGCUAGCGGCGGACGGGUGAGUAACACGUGGGUAACCUGCCCAAGAGAUCGGGAUAACACCUGGAAACAGAUGCUAAUACCGGAUAACAACAGAUGAUGCCUAUCAACUGUUUAAAAGAUGGUUCUGCUAUCACUCUUGGAUGGACCUGCGGUGCAUUAGCUAGUUGGUAGGGUAACGGCCUACCAAGGCGAUGAUGCAUAGCCGAGUUGAGAGACUGAUCGGCCACAUUGGGACUGAGACACGGCCCAAACUCCUACGGGAGGCAGCAGUAGGGAAUCUUCCACAAUGGACGCAAGUCUGAUGGAGCAACGCCGCGUGAGUGAAGAAGGGUUUCGGCUCGUAAAGCUCUGUUGUUGGUGAAGAAGGACAGGGGUAGUAACUGACCUUUGUUUGACGGUAAUCAAUUAGAAAGUCACGGCGAUAGGAAAAGCG
rnacentral:rRNA from 1 species